UUAAAAGCAUGCAGAGUGGGCGGAGUCCCGGGUGUUACUCUUCCCUUGCCUUUUAAAAGCAUGCAGAGAUGGGGGUCACCCGUGUUACUCUUCCCUUGCCUUUUAAAGCAUGCAGAGUGGGUGAGUGUUACUCUUCCCUUGCCUUAUAAAGCAUGCAGAGUGGGAGGAGUCCCCAGUGUUACUCUUCCCUUGCCUUUUAAAGCAUGCAGAGUGGGCGGAGUUACUCUUCCCUUGCCUUUUAAAGCAUGCAGAAUGGGAGGAGUCCCAGGUGUGUUUGUGCUGUCUUCCCAACUGAACGACACAGGAGGUAGCAAGACAGCACAAAGAUCUGGGACUCAGGCUAUACAGAGCAAGGCUUGGGUCAAUUCCAUUUCAAUUCAGGAAUACACUGAUAUUCCAAUGCACAUUUCCUUCAAUGAUUUUCAAUGAGUAAAAAUUGUAAAUUGGUUUAUUUUCUGAAUUGAUUGGAAUUUAAAUAGAAUUGACCCCAACCCUGAGAGAGCACGUAUUUUCCCCCUAAACACCAUUUAUCUUCAAAACGAUAUGAUUAUAACACAGUGUUCUUUGGUCAAAACAAUGAAAGAAUGAACAUGAAUACUUUUAAACUGUAACACUUCUUUAAAAAUACUGACAUCGUUUUGCUUUCUUUUACUUGUGAACAUCCCAUUUAAGUAAAAAUGGGGUUUCUUACUCUUUAUGAUAUACUUUGAAUUGUUUUAAAUUCUCUAGACGAGACUGGAGUUAAAGUGCCCGUCACGGACAUGUCAUGUACAACAGAAACACUGACUUAAGGAAGGUGGGUGAGAUUUCAGUUAUUAUUGGUGUAGUUUGUGGCUACUGGCUGCAUAUACCCCAGGGGUUUCAAAAGGUGAGUGUUUGAUGAGGCACAAAAAAAAAAAAGGAACAGACAGUUGGCACAAGUAACAUUAACAACAUGAUAAGAGUUUUAGUACAAGACAACACUACAGCACAUUAAAAGGAGCGAGAACAAGAUGUUUGGGCCCCCCGUGAAGAGAGAGAGAGUAAAGAGAGGGAGAUAGUUGGGGCAGUGAUGGAGGGAGUUUAUGUCAGGCCAAUCUCCUCCAGGACACUCCGUGGGGCUUCAGCUUCCUAAAGGAGGGAGGAAACAGACAACAGGAUAGUUGAGAAGGAUAAGACACUGUAGUCAGUCUGAAGAUGGACCUGUUUGAUUGGUUUAUGGAGUGCAUACAAGAAACAGGUGUUCGAAGCCUAAAUGCAAUGACUUGAGUAACUGCUCCAACGCCACGAUUAAAUAAAGCAUAUCAGGUAGAUGUAACACUUACUUUGGCAUCCUAGCAGGAGGUGAAGCACGGAGAGAGAGAGAAAAGCACUGUUUGAAUACAACUGACCGCUAGACCAGCUGGUGUAAAUCAGAGGAGGCUGCUGGGGGGAGGACGGCUCAUAAUAAAUGGCUGCAAUGGAGCGAAUGGAAGGGUAUCANCGGUAAACUGAACCAUGGUUGUGUGUAUACUGUAGACUGAACUCUGUUGUCUCCUGG
rnacentral:lncRNA from 1 species